rnacentral:rRNA from 1 species
UACGUAGGGUGCGAGCGUUUGUCCGGAAUUAUUGGGCGUAAAGAGCUUGUAGGCGGUUUGUCGCGUCUGCUGUGAAAAUCCGAGGCUCAACCUCGGACUUGCAGUGGGUACGGGCAGACUAGAGUGUGGUAGGGGAGACUGGAAUUCCUGGUGUAGCGGUGAAAUGCGCAGAUAUCAGGAGGAACACCGAUGGCGAAGGCAGGUCUCUGGGCCACUACUGACGCUGGAGGCGCGAAAGCUAGGGGAGCAAACAGG